UCCUCGGUGGCGCAAUUGGCUAGCGCGUCUGACUGUUAAACUUCCAAUGAGUUGCAGUUAAUCAGGAGGUUGAAAGUUCGAGCCUUUCCCGGGGAG